CUCAAUUCGGAUUGAAGUCUGCAACCCGACUUCAUGAAGCUGGAUUCGCUAGUAAUCGCGCAUCAGCCACGGCGCGGUGAAUACGUUCCCGGGCCUUGUACACACCGCCCGUCAAGCCAUGGGAGCCGGGGGUACCUGAAGUGCGUAACCGCAAGGAGCGCCCUAGGGUAAAACUGGUGACUGGGGCUAAGUCGUAACAAGGUAGC
rnacentral:rRNA from 1 species